rnacentral:rRNA from 1 species
AUUGGGCGUAAGCGCGCGCAGGUGGUUUCUUAAGUCUGAUGUGAAAGCCCACGGCUCAACCGUGGAGGGUCAUUGGAAACUGGGAGACUUGAGUGCAGAAGAGGAAAGUGGAAUUCCAUGUGUAGCGGUGAAAUGCGUAGAGAUAUGGAGGAACACCAGUGGCGAAGGCGACUUUCUGGUCUGUAACUGACACUGAGGCGCGAAAGCGUGGGGAGCAAACAGGAUUAAAUACCCUGGUAGUCCACGCCGUAAACGAUGAGUGCUAAGUGUUAGAGGGUUUCCCCCCUUUAUUGCUGAAGUUAACGCAUUAACCACUCCCCCUGGGGAGUACGGCCGCAAGGCUGAAACUCAAAGGUUUUGACGGGGGCCCGCACCCCCGAAGGAGCAUGUGUUUUUUU